AUAAAUAUGAAAAAGCUGUUAUUUGUUCUCCCGACCUUCUUGUUAACAGUCAGCUAAGACUCCCACAGUAAAUCUCUUCCAUAUAUUACUCAGUAUUACUUUUCUAUUUUAAGCUCCUAGGGAAAACAUGUAUCAGAGUCCCAGCAUUCCAAUCUCGAGCUAUAUAGCUCCUCCCCAGGUGGAUGUAAUGUUAGGCUCAGAUUUUUAUCAGCUUCCAUGUGAUUGGCUUUCAACUCACUUUCUUCUCUGACUUUGGGAAAACAGCUGCCAAGGUUGGUUUGAGACCUUUAUCAUUUCAUUCACUUACUGUUCCUCUGUUUUUUCAGUGGUGACCUUUGGCCUUCUCUCAGGGAUGGAGAUAACUCGAUACUCCCAGUCACAGAGAAGAAACUGAACAUCAAGGAGAAAGUGGUUACCCUUAUCCAUGGAAGACAUAUGGCUACUCAACAGAAUCCUGAAACCAUGGAACUUCCCACCUCUGACCUUGUACAUCAUUCAGGCCAGGAUGUGACUGAACCUGGGGCUGUUUGAACUUGUAUCUUCUCAGUUUUGUCAUGGCUACUUCAUCUUGUUUUCAGAUGUCAGCUCUGAGAUGUAACAGUGGGUACCUCUCUUGCUCCAUCACAUUCUCUAAAUUACCAUCUCUCUAGAUCUUAAAAUAUGUGAAAUGAUUUGUCAUCUGGGUUCCCCUGUGCUCCACCCCCGACUCCUAGGACAGAGGUUCCCCAGGGGCUGAGUUACAAACCUUGUUUUUUUUUCCUUACUCUGUGAUAUAUUGGCAGGGCUUGGAAUUGUGCUUAAUAAAAUAUAAGACUGAAAUGAAUAUGUACAGAUAU